UACGGGGGGGGUAAGCGUUGUUCAGAAUUACUGGGCGUAAAGGGCCAGUAGGCGGCCAACUAAGUCGGAUGUGAAAUCCCCAGGCUCAACUUGGGAACUGCAUCCGAUACUGGAUGGCUUGAAUUCGGGAGAGGGAUGCAGAAUUCCAGGUGUAGCGGUGAAAUGCGUAGAUAUCUGGAGGAAUACCGGUGGCGAAGGCGGCAUCCUGGACCGACAUUGACGCUGAACGGCGAAAGCUAGGGGAGCAAACGGG
rnacentral:rRNA from 1 species